rnacentral:rRNA from 1 species
UGGGGAAUUUUGGACAAUGGGCGAAAGCCUGAUCCAGCAAUGCCGCGUGUGUGAAGAAGGCCUUCGGGUUGUAAAGCACUUUUGUCCGGAAAGAAAUCCUUGGCUCUAAUACAGUCGGGGGAUGACGGUACCGGAAGAAUAAGCACCGGCUAACUACGUGCCAGCAGCCGCGGUAAUACGUAGGGUGCAAGCGUUAAUCGGAAUUACUGGGCGUAAAGCGUGCGCAGGCGGUUUGCUAAGACCGAUGUGAAAUCCCCGGGCUCAACCUGGGAACUGCAUUGGUGACUGGCAGGCUAGAGUAUGGCAGAGGGGGGUAGAAUUCCACGUGUAGCAGUGAAACGCGUAGAGAUGUGGAGGAAUACCGAUGGCGAAGGCAGCCCCCUGGGCCAAUACUGACGCUCAUGCACGAAAGCGUGGGGAGCAAACAGGAUUAGAUACCCUGGUAGUCCACGCCCUAAACGAUGUCAACUAGUUGUUGGGGAUUCAUUUCCUUAGUAACGUAGCUAACGCGUGAAGUUGACCGCCUGGGGAGUACGGUCGCAAGAUUAAAACUCAAAUGAAUUG